rnacentral:rRNA from 1 species
AGAGUUUGAUCCUGGCUCAGGACGAACGCUGGCGGCGUGCCUAAUACAUGCAAGUCGAGCGGACAGAUGGGAGCUUGCUCCCUGAUGUUAGCGGCGGACGGGUGAGUAACACGUGGGUAACCUGCCUGUAAGACUGGGAUAACCCCGGGAAACCGGGGCUAAUACCGGAUGGUUGUUUGAACCGCAUGGUUCAAACAUAAAAGGUGGCUUCGGCUACCACUUACAGAUGGACCCGCGGCGCAUUAGCUAGUUGGUGAGGUAACGGCUCACCAAGGCAACGAUGCGUAGCCGACCUGAGAGGGUGAUCGGCCACACUGGGACUGAGACACGGCCCAGACUCCUACGGGAGGCAGCAGUAGGGAAUCUUCCGCAAUGGACGAAAGUCUGACGGAGCAACGCCGCGUGAGUGAUGAAGGUUUUCGGAUCGUAAAGCUCUGUUGUUAGGGAAGAACAAGUACCGUUCGAAUAGGGCGGUACCUUGACGGUACCUAACCAGAAAGCCACGGCUAACUACGUGCCAGCAGCCGCGGUAAUACGUAGGUGGCAAGCGUUGUCCGGAAUUAUUGGGCGUAAAGGGCUCGCAGGCGGUUUCUUAAGUCUGAUGUGAAAGCCCCCGGCUCAACCGGGGAGGGUCAUUGGAAACUGGGGAACUUGAGUGCAGAAGAGGAGAGUGGAAUUCCACGUGUAGCGGUGAAAUGCGUAGAGAUGUGGAGGAACACCAGUGGCGAAGGCGACUCUCUGGUCUGUAACUGACGCUGAGGAGCGAAAGCGUGGGGAGCGAACAGGAUUAGAUACCCUGGUAGUCCACGCCGUAAACGAUGAGUGCUAAGUGUUAGGGGGUUUCCGCCCCUUAGUGCUGCAGCUAACGCAUUAAGCACUCCGCCUGGGGAGUACGGUCGCAAGACUGAAACUCAAAGGAAUUGACGGGGGCCCGCACAAGCGAUGGAGCAUGUGGUUUAAUUCGAAGCAACGCGAAGAACCUUACCAGGUCUUGACAUCCUCUGACAAUCCUAGAGAUAGGACGUCCCCUUCGGGGGCAGAGUGACAGGUGGUGCAUGGUUGUCGUCAGCUCGUGUCGUGAGAUGUUGGGUUAAGUCCCGCAACGAGCGCAACCCUUGAUCUUAGUUGCCAGCAUUCAGUUGGGCACUCUAAGGUGACUGCCGGUGACAAACCGGAGGAAGGUGGGGAUGACGUCAAAUCAUCAUGCCCCUUAUGACCUGGGCUACACACGUGCUACAAUGGACAGAACAAAGGGCAGCGAAACCGCGAGGUUAAGCCAAUCCCACAAAUCUGUUCUCAGUUCGGAUCGCAGUCUGCAACUCGACUGCGUGAAGCUGGAAUCGCUAGUAAUCGCGGAUCAGCAUGCCGCGGUGAAUACGUUCCCGGGCCUUGUACACACCGCCCGUCACACCACGAGAGUUUGUAACACCCGAAGUCGGUGAGGUAACCUUUUAGGAGCCAGCCGCCGAAGGUGGGACAGAUGAUUGGGGUGAAGUCGUAACAAGGUA